CUGACUGCUAUCGGAUUGAUACUAAGCCAUGCGAGUCAUUGUAGUAAUACAAGGCAGACGGCUCAGUAACGCGUAGUCAACCUAACCUAUGGACGGGAAUAACCUCGGGAAACUGAGUAUAAUGCCCGAUAGAACAUUAUGCCUGGAAUGGUUUAUGUUCCAAAUGAUUUAUCGCCGUAGGAUGGGACUGCGGCCUAUCAGUUUGUUGGUGAGGUAAUGGCCCACCAAGACUAUUACAGGUACGGGCUCUGAGAGGAGUAGCCCGGAGAUGGGUACUGAGACACGGACCCAGGCCCUAUGGGGCGCAGCAGGCGAGAAAACUUUGCAAUGUGCGAAAGCACGACAAGGUUAAUCCGAGUGGUUUCUGCUAAAGGAACCUUUUGUCGGUCCUAGAAACACCGAUGAAUAAGGGGUGGGCAAGUUCUGGUGUCAGCCGCCGCGGUAAAACCAGCACCUCAAGUGGUCAGGAUGAUUAUUGGGCCUAAAGCAUCCGUAGCCGGCUCUGUUAGUUUUCGGUUAAAUCUGUACGCUUAACGUACAGGCUGCCGGGAAUACUGCAGAGCUAGGGAGUGGGAGAGGUAGACGGUACUCGGUAGGAAGGGGUAAAAUCCUUUGAUCUAUUGAUGACCACCUGUGGCGAAGGCGGUCUACCAGAACACGUCCGACGGUGAGGGAUGAAAGCUGGGGAGAGCAAACCGGAUUAGAUACCCGGGUAGUCCCAGCUGUAAACUAUGCAAACUCAGUGAUGCAUUGGCUUGUGGCCAAUGCAGUGCUGCAGGGAA
rnacentral:rRNA from 1 species